GUUGCUGUGUACCAUAGUAACCUGUUUCCACUUGAGCUCAAUUUCUCACACAGAUGCCUCAUCAUUAGCACAGCCAUCCUUCAAGAAUAAUGGAUUUUGAAGAUCAGUCCAAAACCAGAUCCAUCAUCUUAAUCAACAGUAUUACAACAGCCUUGGAAGUACAGCACACGCUUCAAAUAUUCUCUGCGUAGAGUUACACUUGAAUUACACAUACAUUGUCUUGAACAGCUAUAAGAACACUUGAAUUUUCAAAUGACAGUAUCUUUCUCAGUGCUUACUUUUUAUUCUUACUGCAUUAAACUAUAAUGCAAGCUGUCUGAAACUUCUUA